UGUGCAAACCUACGCAAAGCUGA
rnacentral:miRNA from 1 species